AUUGAACGCUGGCGGCAGGCUUAACACAUGCAAGUCGAGCGGAGAUGAGGUGCUUGCACCUUAUCUUAGCGGCGGACGGGUGAGUAAUGCUUAGGAAUCUGCCUAUUAGUGGGGGACAACAUUCCGAAAGGAAUGCUAAUACCGCAUACGUCCUACGGGAGAAAGCAGGGGACCUUCGGGCCUUGCGCUAAUAGAUGAGCCUAAGUCGGAUUAGCUAGUUGGUGGGGUAAAGGCCUACCAAGGCGACGAUCUGUAGCGGGUCUGAGAGGAUGAUCCGCCACACUGGGACUGAGACACGGCCCAGACUCCUACGGGAGGCAGCAGUGGGGAAUAUUGGACAAUGGGGGGAACCCUGAUCCAGCCAUGCCGCGUGUGUGAAGAAGGCCUUUUGGUUGUAAAGCACUUUAAGUGGGGAGGAGGCUCUCUUGGUUAAUACCUUGCUGUUUUGACGUUACCAACAGAAUAAGCACCGGCUAACUUCGUGCCAGCCGCCGCCGUAAAAC
rnacentral:rRNA from 1 species